rnacentral:rRNA from 1 species
UGUAGCAAUACAUGCCGGCGAGUGGCGCACGGGUGCGUAACGCGUAUGCAAUCUACCUAUAACUGGGGAAUAGCCUUCCGAAAGGAAGAUUAAUACCGCAUAACAUCACGAAACGGCAUCGUUUUGCGAUCAAAACUCAGGUGGUUAUAGAUGAGCAUGCGUGACACUAGCUAGUUGGUGAGGUAACGGCUCACCAAGGCGACGAUGUCUAGGGGGUCUGAGAGGAUGAUCCCCCACACUGGUACUGAGACACGGACCAGACUCCUACGGGAGGCAGCAGUAAGGAAUAUUGGACAAUGGCCGCAAGGCUGAUCCAGCCAUGCCGCGUGAAGGAUGAAGGUGCUAUGCAUUGUAAACUUCUUUUGUCCCGGAAUAAACCCCUGAUUUCUAUCGGGGCUGAAUGCACGGGAAGAAUGAGGGACGGCUAACUUCGUGCCAGCAGCCGCGGUAAUACGAAGGUCCCAAGCGUUAUCCGGAUUUAUUGGGUUUAAAGGGUGCGUAGGCGGGUUGUUAAGUCAGUGGUGAGAGCCUACAGCUCAACUGUAGAAUUGCCAUUGUUACUGACGAUCUUGAGUAUGGUUGAGGAGGGCGGAAUGUGUCAUGUAGCGGUGAAAUGCUUAGAUAUGACACAGAACACCGAUUGCGAAGGCAGCUCUCUAAGCCAAUACUGACGCUGAUGCACGAAAGCGUGGGGAGCAAACAGGAUUAGAUACCCUGGUAGUCCACGCCCUAAACGAUGAUCACUCGAUGUGUGCGAUAUACUGUACGCGUCUGAGCGAAAGCAUUAAGUGAUCCACCUGGGGAGUACGACCGCAAGGUUGAAACUCAAAGGAAUUGACGGGGGCCCGCACAAGCGGAGGAGCAUGUGG